rnacentral:rRNA from 1 species
UACAGAGGGUGCGAGCGUUAAUCGGAAUUACUGGGCGUAAAGCGUGCGCAGGCGGUUAUGUAAGACAGUUGUGAAAUCCCCGGGCUCAACCUGGGAACUGCAUCUGUGACUGCAUAGCUAGAGUACGGUAGAGGGGGUGGAAUUCCACGUGUAGCAGUGAAAUGCGUAGAGAUGUGGAGGAAUACCGAUGGCGAAGGCAGCCCCCUGGGAUAACACUGACGCUCAUGCACGAAAGCGUGGGGAGCAAACAGG